UACGUAGGGUGCGAGCGUUAAUCGGAAUUACUGGGCGUAAAGCGUGCGCAGGCGGCGCUGUAAGACAGGUGUGAAAUCCCCGGGCUUAACCUGGGAACUGCAUUUGUGACUGCAUUGCUGGAGUGCGGCAGAGGGGGAUGGAAUUCCGCGUGUAGCAGUGAAAUGCGUAGAUAUGCGGAGGAACACCGAUGGCGAAGGCAAUCCCCUGGGCCUGCACUGACGCUCAUGCACGAAAGCGUGGGGAGCAAACAGG
rnacentral:rRNA from 1 species